rnacentral:misc_RNA from 1 species
GAGGAGAUGCAAUGACAGUGCAAGUGAGUGUAAAGCAUUUCUUCAAGAGUCUUCAGUGUCAUGCAGCCAAGCCUGAUUGCGCUUUCUAUGGGAUAACUCAGCAGGGUGCCUGCUUAACAGUCGUAUUUCAGUUCUUCAUCCCAGGCACACAUCAAACUGAUAAGGCAAUCAGUCUACAUUGCCGGCUACCCGUCCUUGAUCCUGGAGCUAGUUGAUAAGUUUGUAAAAUUAAUAUUUGUAUUUCUUUGGCUUAGAAGUACUUUUGCCAGUUUAACCUUCCUAAAUGGU